rnacentral:lncRNA from 1 species
AGGAACUGGCUCUUCUAAUUCGUAAACCCCCUCCGAACCGGUCGCUGAUGCGACGUCGCUCGUCAACAAAAAGUUUGUUCUUGUGGCGAUGGUCGCAACUGCACAUCCAAUGAGAAGCUCUCUUUCUCUGACAUCAUCAGUGGUACACUCAAAACCAAAUGGCUACAAGCAUGAUCUGGAACGCUGAACGAGAAUGCAGAUUAAUAGAGUUGAUUAACGAAAGAGAAUGUCUGUGGGAUUUUAAUUCAGAUUUUAUUUUUGUCUUUCCAAUCUGUCCAUCUUGUAACUUAUACUUGAACAAGACGUGUCAGCUCUUUCUUCAUUGCUCAACCAAGUCAGCCAUUGCUACAAUUUUAUUGGCUAAAAGUGUAGAUUAGCACGACAGCAGUAACUACAGUGUGACCACGAA